UACCUGGUUGAUCCUGCCAG
rnacentral:ncRNA from 27 species